GAUGAACGCUGGCGGCGUGCUUAACACAUGCAAGUCGAAUGGAAAGGCCUCUGCUUGCAGGGGUACUCGAGUGGCGAACGGGUGAGUAACACGUGGGUGUUCUGCCCUGCACUUCGGGAUAAGCCUGGGAAACUGGGUCUAAUACCGGAUAGGACAAUGGUUUGGAUGCUGUUGUGGAAAGUUUUUCGGUGUGGGAUGAGCUCGCGGCCUAUCAGCUUGUUGGUGGGGUAAUGGCGUACCAAGGCGUCGACGGGUAGCCGGCCUGCGAGGGUGUACGGCCGCUUUAGACUCGAAAUGGAGGCCGGAGUCGGGCAGGAGGCAGAAGUGGGGAAUGUUGGACAAAGCGAGCAAGCGUGAGGGAGCGAGGCCGCGUGGGGGAUGACGGCUUUCGGGUUGUAAGCACCUAUCGCUAGGGACGAAGCGUUUUUGUGACGGUACCUGGAGAAGAAGCACCGGCUAACUACGUG
rnacentral:rRNA from 1 species